AUCUACCUAGUAGUAUGGAAUAGCCAUUAGAAAUGAUGGGUAAUACUGUAUAAUCCCUGCGGGGGAAAGAUUUAUCGCUAUUAGAUGAGCCUACGUUAGAUUAGCUAGUUGGGAAGGUAAUGGCUUACCAAGGCUAUGAUCUAUAGCUGGUCUGAGAGGACGAUCAGCCACACUGGAACUGAGAUACGGUCCAGACUCCUACGGGAGGCAGCAGUGGGGAAUAUUGGACAAUGGGCGAAAGCCUGAUCCAGCUAUGCCGCGUGAGGGAAGAAGGCCUUCGGGUUGUAAAACUCUUUCAAUAGGGAAGAUAAUGAC
rnacentral:rRNA from 1 species